CAACAUGGUCAUACCACCUAUGGUCAUGCCUGAUCUCCUAAAAGCUAAGCAGGGUCAGGCCUGGUUACUAUUUGGAUGGGAGACCCCCUGGGAAUACCAGGCACUGUAGACU